rnacentral:rRNA from 1 species
AUUGAACGCUGGCGGAAUGCUUUACACACGCAAGUCGAACGGUAGAGGGGGCAACCCCUCGAGAGUGGCGAACGGGUGAGUAAUAUAUCGGAACGUGCCCAGUCGUGGGGGAUAACGUAGCGAAAGUUACGCUAAUACCGCAUACGAUCUAAGGAUGAAAGCGGGGGAUCGCAAGACCUCGCGCGAUUGGAGCGGCCGAUAUCAGAUUAGGUAGUUGGUGGGGUAAAGGCUCACCAAGCCAACGAUCUGUAGCUGGUCUGAGAGGACGACCAGCCACACUGGAACUGAGACACGGUCCAGACUCCUACGGGAGGCAGCAGUGGGGAAUUUUGGACAAUGGACGCAAGUCUGAUCCAGCCAUUCCGCGUGCAGGAUGAAGGCCCUCGGG